GUGCUUGCUUCGGCAGCACAUAUACUAAAAUUAGAACGAUACAGAGAAGAUUAGCGUGGCCCCUGCACAAGGAUGACAUGCAAAUUCGUGAAGCAUUCCAUAGAAAA
rnacentral:snRNA from 3 species